AAGCGAGCUUCCCGGUUCGGGCGGGAGGCGCUCUUCUCGGAGUAGCCGGGCCUGCGAAGGGCGCGUUUUCAAAUUGCUGUUCCUCGUCGCUCAGAAACGAUGCCAGCGAUACUGAGGGAGGACCUUCACCCCGGAACUGCUGGUUUGAUGGUCACGAUGAACUGGAAGUCUGAAUCAAGCCGAAGACGGAGGAUGGAUGGAGCAAAGGAGGCCGCUGGCAGGAGAGGCGUUGUGAAGGGAACUGGACCGUCGUCUCAAGAUUUCAGAGGUGGUGCAGAUCUUGGCAACGCCGAAGUCCAUGCUGCAGCUGAAGAAUCAGUUGCUGAAGUGGAAGGACAAAGAAAUACCUAUUAUUUCUGAAGACUUGGCCAACCCUAUAGUUCUAUGAAGUCGAAGGCAACAGGAGUCAAAUUUGAAGCAUGAGAGGAGCCCGCCUCAACUUUUCUGAAAUUAACUCCCAAUGUCGGAUGCGGGAGCAUUCCGCGCAGGCGCAGUCGGGUCUCAGUGCGGACGCGGCACCGCCCCCGAGGGCCCAGGUCCUCAAUUCGGGUUCCGGCCGAAGCCCCGCUCACUCCCCCACCCCGCUAAACGGAUUCGCAGGUCCGUCUCCGCCGCCAGUGGGCCGCGGCCACAAGUGAAGAGUUCAACCCUCACACUUAACACCACGGAGCCUGCACAACUCCGAUUGUCCCCUUCACAAACGUCAAGAAUGCGGUCGCGAGAGGCCGAGCGCCCUGUUCAAGUUUUUCCCACCACUGGAUGGGGCAGAAGCUGGUCUACGUACCCAGGCCCCGACCGCCGAGUCCGAGCCACACCCCCACACCGCGGCUGACCCCGGCCCAUCCGGCAAACGAUCCUUCCGCAGGCUCCGCAAUUCUUGCCACCACG